AACGCAGCUUGCGCCCGCGAGGGCAUGUCUGUUUGAGUGCGGUUGUUGAUAACCUGUGAGACUGGUUGGUUGUUCCUUUGGAUCAGCUGAAAUGGAGUGAGAUGUGCUGGUGUGGUGCUGGUGUGAGUGAGAGACGCUCGUCUUGUCACAACAGCACCUUCCUUUACUCACUCACGCCUCAAAUCAGACAAGACGACCCGCUGAACUUAA
rnacentral:misc_RNA from 1 species